CUAAGCAAUAAACAGUCUGUCCUGGGGUUGGGGGGAGAUAUAAAUCAAAUAUUAGGUUGGUACAGAAGGUUCCUCUCUUUACCAAAAUAAAUUUACACAAGGGGAAAUGCUCAGAGAAGGAGACAUAGCAGUCAGUCUGGCAUGUAAAUGAAGUUUCUGUUGAAUAGUCAUCAUUGGUGCACAUGCUAUGUGUUAAGCUUUGGGCUCAAGAAUGCAGAUCCAUAUUUAAUAUUUAUUCAAUGCACUAAGAUAGGGCCUGUGAACAUAGAGCCUUUGGAUGGCUUUACACUCUGUUGACUUGGCUACAUGAGAAUCCUGUUUCCUAGGUUCCCUUUCUUUGAUGGUUCUGAAUUAGGGUAGACUACUAGAGCAUUUGCAUGAGAUUUGGAAGGCAGAACUGAAGCGGCAGGAGUUCUCCCCUGGAGGUCACGAUGAGGUGCUGGGAGCUGCCGCAGUUCCUCCAGUCACCACUGAUCUGCUGCUCACCUUGCUGUGUGGGUAGCGGCUGAGCCUGCAGAGAUCUUCCAGGUCCUUUAGACCCCUUCCUUCAGACUGCUGAGCAGGUGCACGUCAUCUUUGUAUUGCGAGAAGCUGUUGACGAGGAGCGGCGAUGAGAGACAAGUGUGGGUUGGUUGGUUCUCUGGGUCCAGGUUUAUCCUUGUAGAUUCCAGUUUGCCCUCUCCUCGCGGAACUUGCAGCUUUCCUUUCUAUUGCUGGUCCUGCUGCCACAGAUGGAGCUAACGGCCCCAUCAACUUCUCCACCUGAGCCCAUCCGUGGCUCCUGAUUUUCUUCGGAUCUUCUUGAUAGCCCCUGCUGGACUUCUGCUCCCCUCGUUUCUCCAAUGGAACCCACGCUGUGUAAUAAACCCCCAUUCCACAUCACUUGUUUGUGGCAGAGGCUUGUUUGUGGCAGAAGGGUCUCCAAUCAACCAGCUGAGAAGGCCUGAAGGACAGUCAGGAAGUUGGUAUUGGAAACUGAAGAGAAGGCAGCCAUGGUACCCAGUGGUGCAAAGUUCAGAGAAAUAAAGACACAGAGAGAAAUUAAGUCACUUCUUGAGGCCACACAGCACAGGAGGCAGCCAGAAUUCGAAUCCAUGAACAAAUGAACACACUCAAGGCCUGUCAUCGGGAUGGUCACGUGUUCUAUUGAUGAAAUCAUGUGUGUUCACUCCUGAGGAAACCUCUCAGCAUUCCCAUUUUUCUAAUGUAUAUGAAAUAAAGACACCUGAUCACUAAAGCUUAGUCAUAGAACCCUGGAGCCACGAUGGUUGCUGAUGGACUCUCACCCACUUGAAGGGUCUAUAGAUUUCACUUUCAUUGAUGAAAUGCAAUAGAUAAUUUGGUGUUUGCUAGGAAGCACUUGGGUAAAGUGGCAAGACCCUUAUAAAGGGAGUGUGGGGCUGAGAGAGGAGGCUAAAGUUGAUCCACAGUAUUACACAGCUGAAAGCUACUGUAGGGCCUUUCAGCCAAGUCCGUCUGAUAUAAACAUUAUUACGAGUUGGCAGCCCUGGGUUCAGGUCACAGGUCAUGACUGACAGGCUAUGUCUUUGGGAAAAUCCUUUAAACCUCUUAGACUCAGUUUUAAAACCUAUGCAGUGACUCUCUCAAGAGGAGUGGAUGCCAUCAACUGGAGCUGAGAUGUUUGAUAAUAGACACCCAGUCCCAAGUUGUGGUGUUAGCAGCGCCACAGUCUACCUUUCUGACAUGUCUUGACAGUAUGUGGUUCCAUUUCCAAUGUCAUCUCCUGGUCUAGAAUGGCUGCUGGAAAUUAAGUCCUCUUCACCAGCAGGAAAGAGAAAGGGAAAAGAUAAAAAGAUCACAUCCCACUGGAGAGUCAGCUCCUUUGUAGCUAAUAUGCCUAAGUAUGCAUAGUGGACACCGAGAAGACUAGAUAGGUUCAUGGCUGCAUCCCAAAACAAGUGUUCUGUUAGUAAGGAAGCGUGGUGAUGGUGGUGUUGAUGAGGAUAGAUUCUGGAUAGACUACAGAUAAUUUUCUGGGCAGUGAUCUGGCCUGGAUGGGGACAAGAAGUAGUCAUCAAGGGGUCAGAGUUGGGGGAGUUGUCCAAGAGAAGUUGUGUUGUUUUUUUCUACAGCAACUUCGUGUCUUGAUUUUUUAUUCUGUCAGUUAAACAUGAGCAUGUUAUGCCUGCAGAAAAGGGACUUUUGCAAGGCUCUGUGUGCUCCAGUGUGGAAGAUGGGAGGAGGUUUAAACAGGAAAACAACCCAGCUGGAUGCUGGGCACGUACAAUAGAUAACUAUUGGGUUGUGGGCAACAGGCAAGGUGCUCUGAGCAGUAAUUCUCAUCUUUCUUUUUCUUUUAUGGACACAAGGCCACGGCAAGUCCUUCACAGUGAUUGUUGUUUUACUACCAGGUUUCUGAGUGGCUGACUUGUGGGAAUUUUUGAAUAGAAUGUUUCUUGCCAUUUGUCCUAUGUGGAAGAUGAGACUGGGACAAG